rnacentral:rRNA from 1 species
ACCAAGGCAUUGAUGGGUAGUUGGUCUGAGAGGACGACCAGCCACAUUGGGACUGAGAUACGGCCCAGACUCCUACGGGAGGCAGCAGUGGGGAAUCUUGGACAAUGGACGAAAGUCUGAUCCAGCGACACCGCGUGGGGGAUGAAGGCUCUCGGGUUGUAAACCCCUUUUCUGGGGGAAGAAUAAGGUUGGGAGGAAAUGCCCAUCCGAUGACAGUACUCCAGGAAUAUGCAUCGGCAAACUUCGUGCCAGCAGCCGCGGUAAGACGAAGGAUGCGAGCGUUAUCCGGAAUUACUGGGCGUAAAGGGCGUCUAGGCGGUUGGGUAAGUCACUUGUGAAAGCCCUCGGCUUAACCGAGGAAAGUCUCGUGAUACUGCCCAGCUUGGGUGUAGGAGAGGGGUGUGGAACUCACAGAGUAGCGGUGGAAUGCGUAGAUACUGUGAGGUACCCCGAUGGCGAAGGCAACUCCCUGGCCUACUACCGACGCUGAAGCGCGAAAGCGUGGGGAGCAAAGGGGAUUAGAUACCCCCGUAGUCCACGCCCCAAACGAUGUUCACUUGGUGUCGGCCGCAAAUAUAGGUCGGUGCCGGAGCUAACGCGUUAAGUGAACCGCCUGAGGAGUACGGCCGCAAGGCUAAAACUCAAGAGAAUUGACGGGUCCCCGCACAAGCGGUGGAGCACGUGGUUUAAUUCGAUUUUAAGCGAAAAACCUCACCCAGGCUUGACAUACUAGUGGUAGGAACCUGAAAGGGGGACGACCCUGCCUUCGGGUAGGGAGCUAGUACAGGUGAUGCAUGGCUGUCGUCAGCUCGUGUCGUGGGAUGUAGGGUUAAGUCCCGAAACGAGCGCAACCCUUGUCGUUAGUUGCCAGCGGGUAAUGCCGGGGACUCUAGCGAGACUGCUGGUGAAUAGCCGGAGGAAGGCGGGGAUGACGUCAAGUCAUCAUGUCCCUUAUGCCUGGGGCGACACACAUGCUACAAUGGGGGGUACAGAGGGUCGCAAUACCGUAAGGUGGAGCCAAUCUCAAAAAACCCUCCUCAGUUCGGAUUGAGGUCUGCAACUCGACCUCAUGAAGCCGGAAUCGCUAGUAAUCGUAGGUCAGCCAUACUACGGUGAAUAUGUACUCGGGGAUUGUACACACCGCCCGUCACACCAACCGAGCGGGGGGUACCUGAAGUCGUCUCCAUGAGGCGCCGAGGGUAACCUUCGCAAGAGGGGUG